UAAAAGUUCAGAGCUCACUGCAACCAGGCACUGGGGAUAGAGUUUUAUGGAGAAACAGCCCGAGCCCCUGCUCUCGGGGAGCCUGAGGCAGAGAAGAGAGUGAGUCACACAACUAAUGUGAGCAGGUCUACGCAGCGGCUGCACACAGCGGCAUGAGACUGUGGGGGGCCUGAACUACUCAGCAACGUUAGAGGAGGCUCCCUCGAGUAAGUGAUGACUAAGCACAGGGCUGAAGGAAAUAUUUUCAUGGACAUACCAGCAUGUGAUGUGCCCAGCACACACACACAUCCACUAGACUUCAUCAAACCUAAGAGAACAAGCGUCAAUUACAAAAGUUUUAUUAUAUAUACAACAAAGAAAGAACAACACUGCCAAUAAACUAUGCUCCCAUGCUUCCUUUAUCUCAGAAUAUUUAUAUGUAUUGAAAAAGCUUAUUUAGGCUUAUUCAGGUAUGGACUUAAUUACAUGGCUCUCUCUUCCAUAUAUGCAAAAAGGAAAAACAGAAGCAAACGACAUUAGCUCAGGUAUUGAUAAGCUUGCACCCUCCUCAGCUCUGAGUCACCUGCACCUGCGGGUUCCUCACAGUGCCAUUCUUUGUGCCACGGAGUGUUGGGGUGGCGUUUCUUGAAAGAGACCUCUGAUAAUGCCUCUGAUUUUCUUCCAAGCUGCUGAAAAUUACUUUGAGUUUGGAUUCUGAUCCUUUCUUGAUUGUACCAGAAGAUGUCGAAGACGGGUUUUUUGAUAAGAACCAAGGUCCGUCCACAAUAGUUCUUAGAUUGUUUGGGACUGAAACACAGAGGAGCCAUGGUACCAGCUACACUAGCAGGAGCAGCAGAGUGUGUGCGUGUGUCGGCAAUUACCAUGCCAACGGCAUUGCUAAGACUCAUCCCCAAUUUGAAGGUGUCAGCAGGUUAACAUUUGAAGGUGUUAACAUUUUGUUUUUGUAAAACAAACAAACAAAAAAAGUCCAUCUCAAAACUGAUGAGGGACUUCCCUGGUGGCGCAGCGGUUAAGAAUCCGCCUGCCAAUGCAGGGGACACGGGUUCCAUCCCUGGUCCGGGAAGAUUCCACAUGCCGUGGAGCAACUAAGCCUGCGAGCCACAACUACUGAGCUUGCGUGCCCUAGAGCCCGCACACCGCAACUACUGAGGCUGUGUGCCACAACUACUGAAGCCCGUGAACCUAGAGCCCAUGCUCCACAACAAGAGAAGCCACUGCAAUGAGAAGCCCACGCACCGGAACGAAGAGUAGCCCCCGCUCACCACAACUAGAGAAAGCCCACGUACAGCAAUGAAGACCCAACAGAGCCAAAAGUAAAUAAAAUUAAAAUAAAAAACAAAACUGAUGAAUUACACUACAGUGGGACUUCCCUGGUGGUGCAGUGGUUAAGAAUCCACCUGCCAAUGCAGGGGACAUGGGUUCGAUCCCUGGUCCAGGAAGAUCCCACAUGCCACGGAGCAACUAAGCCCGUGUGCCACAACUACUGAGCCUGCGCUCCAGAGCCUGCGAGCCACAACUACUGAGCCCACGUGCCACAACUACUGAAGCCCACACACCACAACUACUGAAGCCUGUGCGCCUAGAGCCUGUGCUCUGCAACAAGAGAAGCCACAGCGAUGAGAAGCCCACGCACCGCAAGGAAGAGCAGCCCCUGCUCGCCACAACUAAAGUCCACGCACAGCAACGAAGACCCAAUGCAGCCAGAAACAAAUAAGAUAAAUAAAUUUAUAUUAAAAAAAUUA